GGAGCUUUGUAAGGACAAUUACACUUUGAGGCUUAUGGUUAUGAAUUUGAACACAGAUAAAGGCAGGUCCUUUAUUUCUACAUAUAAUGGCAGAAGGAGAACUUUCCUCACCAUAUUGUGUAUGUGGUGGAUUGUUUGUGGAGCACAAACAUCCACAACUGAGACUCCAACUACAACAACGGAGGCUCCA